rnacentral:rRNA from 1 species
CAGCAGCCACGGGAAUACGAAGGGGGCUAGCGUUGCUCGGAAUGACUGGGCGUAAAGGGCGCGUAGGCGGUUCGUACAGUUGGAUGUGAAAUUCCUGGGCUUAACCUGGGGGCUGCAUUCAAUACGUGCGGGCUUGAGUGUGGAAGAGGGUUGUGGAAUUCCCAGUGUAGAGGUGAAAUUCGUAGAUAUUGGGAAGAACACCGGUGGCGAAGGCGGCGACCUGGUCCUUGACUGACGCUGAGGCGCGAAAGCGUGGGGAGCAAACAGGAUUAGAUACCCGGGUAGUCCCUGUCUCUUAUAC